rnacentral:rRNA from 1 species
GGGCCCGCACAAGCGGUGGAGCAUGUGGUUUAAUUCGAUGAUACGCGAGGAACCUUACCAGGUCUUAAAUGCAUAACGAACGAUUGGGAAACCAAUCUUUCUUCGGACGGAAUGCAAGGUGCUGCAUGGUUGUCGUCAGCUCGUGCCGUGAGGUGUCAGGUUAAGUCCUAUAACGAGCGCAACCCCUAUUCUUAGUUGCCAGCGGUUCGGCCGGGGACUCUAAGAAAACUGCCAGUGCAAGCUGUGAGGAAGGUGGGGAUGACGUCAAAUCAUCACGGCCCUUACGACCUGGGCCACACACGUGCUACAAUGGUAGGUACAAAGGGCAGCCACUUGGCGACAAGGAGCUAAUCUCUAAAACCGAUCUCAGUUCGGAUCGCAGUCUGCAACUCGACUGCGUGAAGCUGGAAUC